GUACUUAGCUGGCAGGGGAGAGGCCCUGAUUGUGAAGGUGGCUUUCCCAGGGCGAGGUUCAUCCAUUGCACUCCUAUGUGCUGACCCCUGCGCUUGCUCCAGAUGUGGGCAGCUGCACACCCUGUGGCAGUGAGGAGCUGUGUUCGCACUCCCCCCUG